GUAUUUCAUAGCUGUGGAAGAUGAUAAAAUAAUUCCACUGAACUCAGAAUACAGUGUUGCAGAUGAUGCUCUGCCUGCAAGCUGUGUAUUCAGCCAAGUCAUGAACAUGGCCGGACUUGUAGUCAUUGCAACGUUUUACAGCUUUCAAACGAUGAGGAGCCACACAACCUAGGGACUACGAUGACUUUUGGGUUUGGGACUCUUGCAUGCUGGCUUCAGUCGGUCGUGACUCUCAAAGUCAACCUAAAGAACGAAGGGAGGACAAUCGGAAUUCCACGAGUCCUGCUUUCAGCUGCUGUCACUCUCAGUGUGCUUCUGUGUAUCCUUUCAGUACGGUGCAGAACAGAACAUCUAAGAAGGCAUCUGUACAGCUGCUUCAACCACUUCACUGUGCACUUCAGCCAGCAAUGUAUUGUAAUAUUUCAACAGAACAAUAGGUAGAAUAAUCGCAUCAACCAUUUAAAGAUGCAAUAUCUACAAAAAAAGCCCAUGUUACAAAAAGAAGAAAAGGAAAGUUAUAUUUUAAUCUAAGUAAUACCCACCUUUUAUUUCAUGUAUUGCUU